rnacentral:rRNA from 1 species
AAUCUUCCGCAAUGGACGCAAGUCUGAUGGAGCAACGCCGCGUGAGUGAUGAAGGAUUUCGGAUCGUAAAACUCUGUUGUUAGGGAAGAACAAGUAUCGGAGUCACUGCCGGUACCUUGACGGUACCUGUUGUGAAAGCUACCGCUACCUACUUGCCAGCAGCCGCGGUAAUACGUAGGUGGCAAGCGUUGUCCGGAUUUAAUGGGCGUAAAGCGCGCGCAGGCGGUCUUUAUAAGUCUGAUGUGAAAUCUUACAGCUUAACUGUAAGCGGUCAUUGGAAACUGGGAGACUUGAGUGCAGAAGAGGGGAGUGGAAUUCCAUGUGUAGCGGUGAAAUGCGUAGAGAUAUGGAGGAACACCAGUGGCGAAGGCGACUCUCUGGUCUGUAACUGACGCUGAGGCGCGAAAGCGUGGGGAUCAAACA